UUAGGGUUAACGCCCAGGAGAGCCGCAGUGAAUAGGCCCAAGCGACUGUUUAUCAAAAACACAGGUCUCUGCUAAACCGUAAGGUGAUGUAUAGGGGCUGACGCCUGCCCGGUGCUGGAAGGUUAAGAGGAGUGGUUAGCUUCUGCGAAGCUACGAAUCGAAGCCCCAGUAAACGGCGGCCGUAACUAUAACGGUCCUAAGGUAGCGAAAUUCCUUGUCGGGUAAGUUCCGACCCGCACGAAAGGCGUAACGAUUUGGGCACUGUCUCAACGAGAGACUCGGUGAAAUCAUAGUACCUGUGAAGAUGCAGGUUACCCGCGACAGGACGGAAAGACCCCGUGGAGCUUUACUGUAGUCUGAUAUUGAAAUUCGGCACAGCUUGUACAGGAUAGGUAGGAGCCUGAGAUACGUGAGCGCUAGCUUACGUGGAGGCGUUGGUGGGAUACUACCCUCGCUGUGUUGGAUUUCUAACCCGCACCAUUUAUCAUGGUGGGAGACAGUGUCAGAUGGGCAGUUUGACUGGGGCGGUCGCCUCCUAAAGAGUAACGGAGGCGCUCAAAGGUUUCCUCAGAAUGGUUGGAAAUCAUUCAUAGAGUGUAAAGGCAUAAGGAAGCUUGACUGCGAGACUUACAAGUCGAGCAGGGUCGAAAGACGGACUUAGUGAUCCGGUGGUUCCACAUGGAAGGGCCAUCGCUCAACGGAUAAAAGCUACCCCGGGGAUAACAGGCUUAUCUCCCCCAAGAGUUCACAUCGACGGGGAGGUUUGGCACCUCGAUGUCGGCUCAUCGCAUCCUGGGGCUGUAGUCGGUCCCAAGGGUUGGGCUGUUCGCCCAUUAAAGCGGUACGCGAGCUGGGUUCAGAACGUCGUGAGACAGUUCGGUCCCUAUCCGUCGUGGGCGUAGGAAAUUUGAGAGGAGCUGUCCUUAGUACGAGAGGACCGGGAUGGACAUACCUCUGGUGUACCAGUUGUCGUGCCAACGGCAUCGCUGGGUAGCUAUGUAUGGACGGGAUAAGUGCUGAAAGCAUCUAAGCAUGAAGCCCCCCUCAAGAUGAGAUUUCCCAACUUCGGUUAUAAGAUCCCUCAAAGAUGAUGAGGUUAAUAGGUUCGAGGUGGAUGCAUAGCGAUAUGUGCAGCUGACGAAUACUAAUCGAUCGAAGACUUAAUCAAAUU
rnacentral:rRNA from 1 species